rnacentral:rRNA from 1 species
UUAGUAACGGCGAGUGAAGCGGUAAAAGCUCAAAUUUGAAAUCUGGUACUUUCAGUGCCCGAGUUGUAAUUUGUAGAAUUUGUCUUUGAUUAGGUCCUUGUCUAUGUUCCUUGGAACAGGACGUCAUAGAGGGUGAGAAUCCCGUUUGGCGAGGAUACCUUUUCUCUGUAAGACUUUUUCGAAGAGUCGAGUUGUUUGGGAAUGCAGCUCAAAGUGGGUGGUAAAUUCCAUCUAAAGCUAAAUAUUGGCGAGAGACCGAUAGCGAACAAGUACAGUGAUGGAAAGAUGAAAAGAACUUUGAAAAGAGAGUGAAAAAGUACGUGAAAUUGUUGAAAGGGAAGGGCAUUUGAUCAGACAUGGUGUUUUUUGCAUGCACUCGCCUCUCGUGGGCUUGGGCCUCUCAAAAAUUUCACUGGGCCAACAUCAAUUCUGGCAGCAGGAUAAAUCAUUAAGAAUGUAGCUACUUCGGUAGUGUUAUAGCUUUUUGGAAUACUGUUAGCCG